rnacentral:rRNA from 1 species
CUCAAAGGAAUUGACGGGGACCCGCACAAGCGGUGGAUGAUGUGGUUUAAUUCGAUGCAACGCGAAAAACCUUACCUACCCUUGACAUGCCUGGAAUCCUGCAGAGAUGUGGGAGUGCUCGAAAGAGAACCAGGACACAGGUGCUGCAUGGCCGUCGUCAGCUCGUGUCGUGAGAUGUUGGGUUAAGUCCCGCAACGAGCGCAACCCUUGUCAUUAGUUGCUACGAAAGGGCACUCUAAUGAGACUGCCGGUGACAAACCGGAGGAAGGUGGGGAUGACGUCAGGUCCUCAUGGCCCUUAUGGGUAGGGCUACACACGUCAUACAAUGGCCGGUACAGAGGGUUGCCAACCCGCGAGGGGGAGCCAAUCCCAGAAAACCGGUCGUAGUCCGGAUUGCAGUCUGCAACUCGACUGCAUGAAGUCGGAAUCGCUAGUAAUCGCGGAUCAGCUUGCCGCGGUGAAUACGUUCCCGGGUCUUGUACACACCGCCCGUCACACCAUGGGAGCGGGUUCUGCCAGAAGUAGUUAGCCUAACCGCAAGGA